rnacentral:rRNA from 1 species
GGUGGUUGAGGAUGAGCAUGCGCAUGAUUAGUUAGUUGGCGGGGUAACGGCCCACCAAGACGAUGAUCAUUAGGGGAACUGAGAGGUUGAUCCCCCACACUGGCACUGAGAUACGGGCCAGACUCCUACGGGAGGCAGCAGUAGGGAAUAUUGGACAAUGGGUGCAAGCCUGAUCCAGCCAUGCCGCGUGCGGGAAGAAGGCCUCCGGGUUGUAAACCGCUUUUGUCAGGGAAGAAAUCUUCUGGGCUAAUACCUCGGGAGGAUGACGGUACCUGAAGAAUAAGCACCGGCUAACUACGUGCCAGCAGCCGCGGUAAUACGUAGGGUGCGAGCGUUAAUCGGAAUUACUGGGCGUAAAGCGUGCGCAGGCGGUCUUGCAAGACAGGUGUGAAAUCCCCGGGCUUAACCUGGGAACUGCACUUGUGACUGCAAGGCUGGAGUACGGCAGAGGGGGAUGGAAUUCCGCGUGUAGCAGUGAAAUGCGUAGAUAUGCGGAGGAACACCGAUGGCGAAGGCAAUCCCCUGGGCCUGUACUGACGCUCAUGCACGAAAGCGUGGGGAGCAAACAGGAUUAGAU